rfam:Bacillus alcalophilus ATCC 27647 = CGMCC 1.3604 strain AV1934 contig00062, whole genome shotgun sequence.
CGGUGAGGUAGAGGCGCGAAUACGAAUAGUACCCUUUAUGAGGAUGACAACGUUGACUAAAGGAGAAAGGCAAGUUCGCCGAAGUUUAUAGAAAAAGUCAAGUUUCUAUAAGCUGGGACUGUAUUAAAUAAAUGCAGGACUGUCACAGUUGAAAGACUGUGGAGAACUACUACUGAA